UACAGAGGUGGCAAGCGUUACUCGGAAUUAUUGGGUGUAAAGGGCAGGUAGGUGGCUCUGUAAGUGAGGGGUGAAAUCCCACGGUUCAAUCGUGGAACAGCCUUUCAAACUGUAGAGCUUGAGAGAAACAGAGGAAGAUGGAAUUCCCGGUGUAAGGGUGAAAUCUGUAGAUAUCGGGAAGAACACCAACGGCGAAGGCAAUCUUCUGGGUUUCUUCUGACACUGAGCUGCGAAAGCUAGGGGAGCAAACAGAAUUAGAUACUCUGGUAGUCCUAGCCGUAAACGAUGAAUACUAGGUGUUGGGUCCUUCGGGACUCAGUGCCGAAGCUAACGCAUUAAGUAUUCCACCUGGGGACUACGAUCGCAAGGUUAAA
rnacentral:rRNA from 1 species